UUGUGGCUUAGGAACAAUAGGCUAUACCAUAUAGCUGAGGUGUACAGUAGUCUAUGCCAUCUAGAUUUGUGUAAAUAUACUCUAUGAUGUUCCCACAGUGUCAAAAUCAUCUAACAACACAUUUCUCUGAAUAUAUUCCUGUCUGUAAUCCACACAUGACUGUAUCUGCAACACAUUAAAGAAGAGAAUAAUUUGAAAUAAUUUUGAAAAGGUAAUGAGAGGAAAUCAUGAAGUGCCUUACAGACCAUAUUAAGAAAUUUACGUUUUAUUCUCAGGAACAUAGAAAGUCACUGGGUGGUUUGAAUCAGGUGAUUGAUAAGGUCAAAUUUAUAUUGUAGAAGAACCAUAUUGUCAGUCAUAUGAAGAUCUGCUACAGUGUCUGUACUGUGCUUUGAAAAUACGUUUAUACUGACAAAGGGAUGUUUGUGUGUGUGUGUAUAUGUGUGUGUGUGUGUGUGUGUGUAUUUGUUUACUUAACAACUAUAGGGCCUAAAUCCGUAAUUCUCAUUCCUGGAGUGGUUGAUCAACAUCUGAAAGAUUGAUCUGGAGUCUACACUAUGGAAAUAAUUCUGCCCAGCCCUUCACAUAAACCUGUUUAACAACAAUGGUUACUUCACUACUAACAAGAACAAUAAUGCCAGAGAAGAGAUAGCUUCAAUGAGCCUGCAUGAUUGCUUUUCCAACUAAAAUGAGUAGAAAAUGAAAACACUUUAAAUGAAGUGUCUGAAAUAAACAUUUAAUUUGGGAUAAGACAGCAACCGCAUAUAUA
rnacentral:lncRNA from 1 species